UACGUAGGGUGCAAGCGUUGUCCGGAAUUAUUGGGCGUAAAGAGUUCGUAGGCGGUUCGUCGCGUCGGCUGUGAAAUCCCGAGGCUCAACCUCGGGUCUGCAGUCGAUACGGGCGGACUGGAGUUCGGCAGGGAGACUGGAAUUCCGUGGUGAGCGGUGAAAUGCGCAGAUAUCAGAGGAACACCGGUGGCGAAGGCGGGUCUCUGGGCCGAUACUGACACUGAGGAGCGAAAGCGUGAGGAGCGAACAGGAC
rnacentral:rRNA from 1 species